CUAUGUCAUGAAAUUAGUUUAUCUUGUUUUUCUAUUUACAGAGUGGCUUUGUCAUAGAAUGAUGAUGGUUGACCAUGUGUAUAAACUUGACUUGCAUGUGCUGCAUAAAGACAUUGUGACUGUUUCGAAAUGAGAGUCAAUAUGCAAAACUAGAGGCAGGGUGCAUAUACCAGCAAUUUACAAGGUAAGUUUUGUGACCAUUACUUUGUUAGAUACUAGUCUGUGUUGUGCUUUAUAUCAGUGUGUUAUGAGAUGAUCUUAUUUUCAUGAAGAUACUCAAGACUGCUAUAGGGAAAUAAUGAAAAAACCCUGAUGUAAAGCACUUGUAUAGGGAAAAUUGCAUAGUUAUUUGAGAUUCUGAAAUAUAUAUGUUAAAAGAAGUUUUCUAAGGGGAAGUGGACAUACAAGGAAAAUAAAAAAGCAGUGGUAAAAAUAGGAUACAGUAAUACUUAUUUCUGUGAAA